rnacentral:misc_RNA from 1 species
GAUGAAGAACGCAGCGAAAUGCGAUAAGUAAUGCGAAUUGCAGAAUUCAGUGAGUCAUCGAAUCUUUGAACGCACAUUGCGCCCUGAGGUAUUCCGCAGGGCAUGCCUGUUCGAGCGUCAUUUCAACCCUCAAGCCCCGCUUGGUGUUGGGCCCCGCCCGCUGUGGCCGGCCCUAAAGACAGUGGCGGCGCCGCCUGGCCCUCAGCGUAGUACAUCUCUCGCUCCAGGGUCCGGUGGCCGCCUGCCAGAACCCCCCAACUCUGUGGUUGACCUCGGAUCAGGUAGGGAUACCCGCUGAACUUAAGCGUAUCAAUAAGCGGAGGA